GAGUUGUUGUCUGAGCGGUUAAAAGAGACGGAUUGUAAAUCCGUUAGGUUUCCUUACGCUGGUUCGAAUCCAGCACAACUCA
rnacentral:tRNA from 1 species